CUUUCUCUGAGAGUUUUAUAACAUCUGUUGCACUUUUAGACGUUGUUUCUUCAUUCAAUUUUUGUUAUUUUUCAUUUUUUGCCUGUAUCUAUCAUAAAAGGCUAGAAACUAUUUUUUUUUUAAAAAUAAUGAAAGGUUUCCUUAAUCGAUUGAGCUAGCUAAACGGGCAAAUUGAUUAUCUAUACCACAUUUAAUAAACAAGGCAUAGAAUUUUUACAUAAUAAUAAAUUGAUCUAUAAAUUGCUAUUUGUUGCAAGCUUUGGAGAAAAAUAUGGCUGAAAUUAUUAAUUUUGUUUAUUUAAUGAUCUUCUUUAUUUCUUUGUUUCUUGUUGUAAAUGAUAAUAAUGAGUGGAAAAACUGCAAAGAGGAUGCUAAUUGUCAAUACUAUUAUUGUCUACCUCCGUAUGUUCCAAAAUGCAUUUGUCGUACAUGUAAAUGUGGUCCUCCGAGAUCCUCCUUUAUUAGAAGACAACUUAGGUAUAGGGUUUAGGAUAUGCAUACUUCAAAAUUAUAGAAAAUUAUAUACAAUGGUUGGCUUUAUGUUUAUUUUUAUUUGCCAAAGUGGUUGGCUUUAUGUUUAGUUUAGUCAUCUUAAACAUUUAUUAUCUAUAUAAUUAAUGUAAUAAAGACAAAAAAUGAUCAUUUUUGUUCAUUCAACAAUGCUACCAUCAACGCAACUUUGGGUGAAGAGGUUAAUUUGUGCGCGCAAUUAUAAAGACUAAAUUCUUAAAUUAAGUAGGACCGGUCAUAAUAGGUGGUAAAAUUCUCCCACGAGAGUUUUAUAACGGGUUGAAUUCUUAGAAAUGAAUUCAAAAUAUUGUCUCUUUAAAUAAGAAAAAGGAAAACCAAGUCUAUUAUAUUAUUAUCAAUUUCUUGUGAAUUUCUUGAUCA